GAUCGCACACAGUUGCAUUCGCGGUGAGCACCGCGUGUGCCGACACGGUAAUGGUGAGACAGCACCAAAACAGCCAUAGGAGCGAAAGCGACAGCAUGUACUCGAAGGAAAUAUCCCUCUGCUUGAAAAAAUAUCCUUGUCAUACGGGCAAUCCGACAAAUCGAUCGAUCGAUAAAAAAUCUACCGACAAAUCGAUCGAUCGACUGUCAAAGUUUGGCAACACCGUUUAUCCGGUUUCCGGAUUUUAUUUCAUUUCGACGGCGAGGUUUGUGCUUUUAUGCUGCUUUGGUGUGCUGCUUUGGUGUGCUGCUUUUUUCUGUGGAAAAAAAUGGAAAUUGCAAUUGUGCGAACAAAAGGUGAGCUAGUGAAAACAGUUUUUGGAAAAAAAUACAAUUGUGCGAACAAAAGGAUUAUGAAGAUGUGCUGCUGGAGGACAACUCGGUUAAUCAGGCACCGCCCCCGGAUCAGGCAGGCCCCUCGCAUUCGGAUCAGGCAGGCCCCCGGCAUUCGGAUCAGGCAGGCCUCCCCCCGACACCACCGACAGGAUACACUACCACCAGCCGGCGCCGGACGCGCAGAGCGGGGCGGCGUGCCCGCCGUGAGCGGGAGGCGAAGCGCCGCCUUGCUCACCGCGCACACAUGGCCUACCUAGAUAUGGUGGCCAUGGUCCGAAAUGCCCAACGCUACGCGAUGCGUGGGUUCCGCGCAUGUGGCCGCGGACGUGGCCGCGGUCGCGGCCGCGGAGGAGCAUAAUUUCUCGCUCGUAAUUAGUGGCUCUAAAUAAAAAGAGAUAUUUAGAAAA